CUCACAACAUCUGAGGAUGCCUACUAUAGAUGUGGAUGGUCUGUUAGGUCUGUUGGAAACAUGCCUAGUUUCCAACAGACCUCACAACUUCUGAGGAUACUUGUCAUAGAUGUGGAUGGUCCUUUAGGUCUGUUGGAAACUUGCAGACCUCACAACAUCUGAGGAUACUUGUCAUAGAUGUGGAUGGUCCUUUAGGUCUGUUGGAAGCUUGCCUAGUUUCCAACACACCUCACAACUUCUGAGGAUGCCUGUCAUAGAUGUGGAUGGUCUGUUAGGUCUGUUGGAAACGUGCCUAGCUUCCAACAGACCUCACAACUUCUGAGGAUGCCUGUUAUAUAUGUAGGCAAAACAUCAGGAGAUAAUGCUUCUGGAACAUGGCCAGACAGGCCAGAAAACUCAUAGCAACCUAUUCAGGGAAGUCUUGUGAAGAGGAGUUAAUAUGGGAUGGUGGAAACAUUGAAUUCCAGUGUGAAACUAGCAACAAACUCUAUGGGGAGAGCAUGGAUUGCACUCGUUCUUCUUCCGUUGGUUUCGGGAACUCAGAACAUGCCAAAGACUGAACAUUUGCCUCUCUGCACGAGGAAGACAGCAAUUCAUACCUAUGGAAGGGGAGACGCCAAAGACACCCUUGCUUAGGUCAUGUGAUUCUGUUCUGGUUAUUUCUUGUUUCCUAUUUUGCUUUGUUUGGUGCUUCUGUCAAAAAAGAAAAACUCAACCGAUCCUACCAAGUGUUGUAAAAGUUGUACCGAAGUGUUGUUUCCAUCUUGUCCCGAUUUCCCCCGUCUUCUUCUUCUUCUUCUUCUUCCGGACCACUUAGCGACGGUAUAUUGCAAUAAAAAUUACGUAUUGUAUUUGCAGACCUCUCUUUCUGUGUAAUUUUAUCCCUCCCCGUUUCCCCCCCUUCUAAUAGGACUUGGAGGAGAGAACAAAGGCGGGAUGGCAACGUUUCAGAGGAAUCAGAAUAAUCAUAACCCCCUCCCCGAUGCACACACAUGCACACAAACGCGAGUCCCCUCUCCAUCCAUAUUCUCAUUGAAUGUGUCGGUGUCCCUGUGAGAUUUUAUUUUAUUUUUUUGGAAGAAGGAGAGAAAAAAAGAUUAAACCUGUGUAAUAAAGGCAUAAAUGUAAUAGAUCUUUUUCAAUAAAUCAAGUUUACCUAA